UCGAAAUCGAGGUCGCAAAAGAAAUCCACACUAGGUUCAACUCUCCAAUAAUAUUCGUACUUCUGAACAAGAGGAUGACGAUAAAAGAAACCAGACUCAAAGCGACACAUGUGACGAUAAGAUUCUUUGUCAGCAUAAAGAAUUCCUAAUUCUUGAAGUUUUUUCCAAUUUUCAUGCAUUUUGUCUUGGUCAAUAUAUUCCGGAAUGCUCCAUUGUUCCUGAGGUACCAAACCAAAUUCACAUUUGCCAGAGACCGCUUCAAUAACAUGCUCCUUAAAUUCGUCAGAGAACUCCUCAUUGUUAAGGAAAACCCAUCCAUAAUGAUAUUUAUGAUUGAAAGUCUUCUCAAGUUUUCGGAUUGAUUUAAGUAAAUCAUUCAAAUCUUCAUUUCUUGCCAACGUAACAAAGGCAGCAUUAACCCGUUUAUUUGGAAGCCAUUCGGAGCGUUCUGAGGGCUCUAGAUUAGAAAUAUUGAAAUACGAAAGAGUAUCUCGAUUGUCAAUCAGACUGCCCUCAAAUACACUGAUAGUUGGGAUGUAUUGCUUUUUGAAACGUACAAAUACAACCAAUGUAAGUAAUACCACUAAAAGUAAAACACGUUUGAACUUUCUUGGCAAGCGAACCAUUUUGCAUUAAAAAUAGAAAUGCUAUAUUUAUAGAUUCUGUAAGUCGGGUAAAAAGUCUUUAAAGAGA